GAUGAACGCUGGCGGCGUGCCUAAUACAUGCAAGUCGAGCGAACAGAUAAGGAGCUUGCUCCUUUGACGUUAGCGGCGGACGGGUGAGUAACACGUGGAUAACCUACCUAUAAGACUGGGAUAACUUCGGGAAACCGGAGCUAAUACCGGAUAACAUAUUGAACCGCAUGGUUCAAUAGUGAAAGGCGGCUUUGCUGUCACUUAUAGAUGGAUCCGCGCCGUAUUAGCUAGUUGGUAAGGUAACGGCUUACCAAGGCAACGAUACGUAGCCGACCUGAGAGGGGGAUCGGCCACACUGGAACUGAGACACGGUCCAGACUCCUACGGGAGGCAGCAGUAGGGAAUCUUCCGCAAUGGGCGAAAGCCUGACGGAGCAACGCCGCGUGAGUGAUGAAGGUCUUCGGAUCGUAAAACUCUGUUAUCAGGGAAGAACAAAUGUGUAAGUAACUGUGCACAUCUUGACGGUACCUGAUCAGAAAGCCACGGCUAACUACGUG
rnacentral:rRNA from 1 species